ACCUGCCCGGUGAUAUUAUAUUAAACGGCCGCAGUACUCUGACUGUGCGAAGGUAGCAUAAUUAUUUGCCUCUUAAUUGGAGGAUAGAAUGAAGGGUUUAUUGAGGUCUUAACUGUAUCAAAAAAUUUUUUUAAAAUUUAAAUUUCAAGUAAAAAUGCUUGUAUAUAAUUAAUAGACAAGAAGACCCUAUCGAGCUUUAAUUUUAGAGUUUUAAUUUAAUAUAUAAUAAAUAAUAUUAAACGGUUAUUUUAAUUGGGGCGAUUAAGGAACAAUAAAAGCUUCUUUUUAUAUAAUAAGAUCCCUUAAUUAAAGGACUAACAGAAAUAGUUACCGUAGGGAUAACAGCAUAAUUUUUUUUUCAAGUUCAUAUUAAGAAAAAUGUUUGUGACCUCGAUGUUGGACUAAAAUUUCCUAAAGAGGCAGGUUUUUUUAAGGGUUAGAUUGUUCAUCUA
rnacentral:rRNA from 1 species